rnacentral:misc_RNA from 1 species
GUAGGUGAACCUGCGGAAGGAUCAUUAAUGAAUUUAUUGAACUGGGUUGUAGCUGGCUCUAUUUGGGCAUGUGCACACCCUAUUCAUCCAUUUCUAUACCCCUGUGCACCUUUUGUGGGUCGGUCAUAUGAGGGAAAGUUGAAAGGCUUUCUUUCUAGAUCUUCCUACGUUUUUAUUAUAAACCCUAGCAUGUCUUUGAAUGUCUUUGCAUUAACGAUGCAUUUUAAUACAACUUUCAGCAACGGAUCUCUUGGCUCUC